rnacentral:rRNA from 1 species
ACAGCAGUAGCCGCGGGAAUACGGAGGGUGCAAGCGUUACUCGGAAUCACUGGGCGUAAAGGACGCGUAGGCGGAUUAUCAAGUCUCUUGUGAAAUCUAACGGCUUAACCGUUAAACUGCUUGGGAAACUGAUAAUCUAGAGUAAGGGAGAGGCAGAUGGAAUUCUUGGUGUAGCGGUAAAAUGCGUAGAUCUCGAGAGGAACACCAAUGGCGAAGGCAGCUUCUUGGCUCACUCCUGACGUUCAUACACGAAAGCGUGGGGAGCAAACAGGAUUAGAUACCCCCGUAGUCCCUGUCUCUUAUAC